rnacentral:rRNA from 1 species
UAAUCUGCCCACUGAUUUAGUAAUUGAAGGGCUGCAGUAUAUUGACUGUACAAAGGUAGCAUAAUCAUUAGUCAUUUAAUUGAUGACUUGUAUGAAGGAUUGAAUGAGAUAUAAGCUGUCUCUUAUUUAUAUUUAUAGAAUUUAAUUUUUUAAUUAAAAAGUUAAAAUAAAAUAAAAAGACGAGAAGACCCUAUAGAGUUUUAUAAUUGAUUUAAUUAAGAUUAUUUAAAUAAAAAAAAUUAAAAUUAAAUUAAUUAUUUUGUUGGGGUGACAAAAAAAUAUAUUUAACUUUUUUUAUUUAUAAAACAUUUAUAAGUGAUUAUAUGAUCCAGUAUUAUUGAUUAAAAGAAAAAAUUACCUUAGGGAUAACAGCGUAAUUUUUUUUUUUAGUUCAAAUAAGAAAAAGAGUUUGCGACCUCGAUGUUGGAUUAAGAUAAAAUUUAAAUGCAGAAG